UAACAUUCACAGGCCUGUAAAAGUAGACCUCAUUAAAUAUUACUGCUAGUCGAUGCAUCGUUCUCCGCGGGGAAGCCCCCAUUUAUCGGGCGGAGAUAUGCUGAAGCAUCUGAUUACAGUGCUCAGUGUAAGAUGCCGGCGACACCACCUGGUACAGGGGACGCCUCGCGGUUUCCAAACCGAAGGCCAAUCCUGUGGCGAGCUCGGGUCGCGCUGAGCCGUCGCAACGCGCGCUAAGGGGUGGGCUAGUCCUGCGGGGCUGGCUUAAGGUACGUGCUAAUCCACCGCGAAAAGCGGUCUCGUGUGAGAAGACCCGAUAAGUCGAGUCACACGGGGGCUUCUGACAGUGAUUUGUCGUGGGGCUGGUACAGUGGGGAAUGUCAGCAUACAGGGGGAACAGUCAUGGAAGUCGUGGUUACCCUAGAACAUGCUUUAGUGACCCUAGCGCAUGGUCUAGUAGCCCUAGACUGGAGAGUCGUAGUUACUCUAGAAGACUUUUUGUUGACUGUUCUUGUUCCUUCUUGCUUGACAUAACCCACUCAACAUG
rnacentral:misc_RNA from 2 species